rnacentral:rRNA from 1 species
GGGGAAUAUUGGACAAUGGGCGCAAGCCUGAUCCAGCCAUGCCGCGUGAGUGAUGAAGGCCUUAGGGUUGUAAAGCUCUUUCGCCAGGGACGAUAAUGACGGUACCUGGAUAAGAAGCCCCGGCUAACUUCGUGCCAGCAGCCGCGGUAAUACGAAGGGGGCUAGCGUUGUUCGGAUUUACUGGGCGUAAAGCGCACGUAGGCGGAUCUUUAAGUCAGGGGUGAAAUCCCGAGGCUCAACCUCGGAACUGCCUUUGAUACUGGAGAUCUUGAGUUCGGGAGAGGUGAGUGGAGCUGCGAGUGUAGAGGUGAAAUUCGUAGAUAUUCGCAAGAACACCAGUGGCGAAGGCGGCUCACUGGCCCGAUACUGACGCUGAGGUGCGAAAGCGUGGGGAGCAAAC